rnacentral:rRNA from 1 species
AGACGUAGGGGGCGAGCGUUGUCCGGAAUUACUGGGCGUAAAGGGCGUGUAGGCGGCCUUUCAAGUCGGCUGUGAAAUACCCCGGCUCAACCGGGGGGGUGCAGUCGAAACUGGGGGGCUUGAGUGCAGGAGAGGAGGGUGGAAUUCCCGGUGGAGCGGUGAUAUGCGUAGAUAUCGGGAGGAACACCGGUGGCGAAGGCGACCUUCCGGCCUGUUACUGACGCUGAGGCGCGAAAGCCGGGGGAGCAAACAGGAUUAGAUACCCUGGUAGUCCCGGCCGUAAACGCUGGGUACUAGGUGUAGGGGGCUUUGAUGCCUUCUGUGCCGUAGUUAACGCAUUAAGUACCCCGCCUGGGGACUACGGCCGCAAGGCUGAA